CUAAAGCAUCUUUACUGAUCUCAGUGUUCAUACUGGCAAAGUUAAGCACCUCCAGUGAUGUAAAGUCAUCCGGAAAACAACUUAGCCAACUACCAGAAAUAUCAUCCAUGCCAUUCUCCUGAAUGUCCAGCUCUGUCAAGUUCUUGCAGUGAGCAGCAAUGCUACCGAUCCCAUCAGUGCUAAAACCGUCACAACUCAACAAUGACAGAGCCUUAAAUCCAAGAAAUGAUUUUGCCAAAAACUCCAAACUCUCAUCAGUAACAGCCAUUCUUUUCAAUCUCAACUCCUCAAGAAAGGGGUAAACUUUGGCAAAAACAUCAAGCCAAG
rnacentral:misc_RNA from 1 species